UUAGAAAACUGAGACCACAUUCGUGAUCAUUGUGAUCUCAUCUUUUAUUCUCAACCUAAAUCGUAAAUUGAAACAUCUUAUUUCUCUUUGUCAAAAAUCACACCUCCACCUUUGGAUCAAGAUUUCGACCACCACGACUAUCACAAACGAAAACCAAGACCAUAUUUGGACUCCAUGAAACACCCUCUUCCGUUACCUAUGCUCGAAAUCGCCAACCGUUACGUUUUAAAAAAUGGGUUUCCACCAUUGUCGCGGCUGUGUUGCCAAACUCCGGCCAACACGUUCAUCGUUUUGAAAAACUGACAUCAUUUUUGGAUUCCUCUCGUCGAAACCUUCAAGAAGCACUACUCAUUUGCGUGUUUCGGUGAAGUUGAUGCCGGACCCUGUCGGCGCCCCAGUACGUCGCCAUGUUUCAUUGACUCUGCAAAUUCGUCGAUGAUUUUGGACUCGUUUGGACGUGUUGUCGACAUCUCAUGGUUGCUGAAAAUCAUUAUGGUCCUUAUAUCUUAUGAAAGCGUCAAGUUGAGGUUAUCGAUUGGGGAUCCACGCUCUGAAUAGGUGAUACUGGGUGGGA